rnacentral:rRNA from 1 species
AGUGAACGCUGGCGGUGGGCCUAAUACAUGCAAGUCGAACGAAAGCACAGUAAGAGUGUGCCCUUACGGGUGGCGAGGGGCGGAUGGGUGAGGAGUAGAUCGGAAACCAAUAUGUCGGGGGGGAUAACGUAGGGAAGGUGACGAUAAUAGAGAAUACGAUGUACGGGAGAAAGCAGGAGAGAAACGGAGUUUGGGCGUCUGAAAGAGCCGAUGCCGCAUUAGCUAGUUGGCGGGGUAAGGGAACACCAAGGCGACGAUCCGUAGCGGGUCUGAGAGGAUGAUCGGCCACACUGGAACUGAGACACGGUCCAGACUCCUACGGGAGGCAGCAGUAGGGAAUAUUCCGCAAUGGGCGCAAGCCUGAUCCAGCCAUACCGCGUGAGUGAUGAAGGCCUUCGGGUCGUAAAGCCCUUUUAUUAGGGAAGAACAGCUGCGUGUUUAUCCCCCCCUGUUCUGACGGUACCCAAUGAGUAAGCCCCGGCUAACUUCGUG